UAACACGUAUCCAACCUGCCGUCUACUCUUNGACAGCCUUCUGAAAGGAAGAUUAAUACAAGAUGGCAUCAUGAGUUCACAUGUUCACAUGAUUAAAGGUAUUCCGGUAGACGAUGGGGAUGCGUUCCAUUAGAUAGUAGGCGGGGUAACGGCCCACCUAGUCUUCGAUGGAUAGGGGUUCUGAGAGGAAGGUCCCCCACAUUGGAACUGAGACACGGUCCAAACUCCUACGGGAGGCAGCAGUGAGGAAUAUUGGUCAAUGGGCGAGAGCCUGAACCAGCCAAGUAGCGUGAAGGAUGACUGCCCUAUGGGUUGUAAACUUCUUUUAUAAAGGAAUAAAGUCGGGUAUGCAUACCCGUUUGCAUGUACUUUAUGAAUAAGGAUCGGCUAACUCCGUGCCAGCAGCCGCGGUAAUACGGAGGAUCCGAGCGUUAUCCGGAUUUAUUGGGUUUAAAGGGAGCGUAGAUGGAUGUUUAAGUCAGUUGUGAAAGUUUGCGGCUCAACCGUAAAAUUGCAGUUGAUACUGGAUAUCUUGAGUGCAGUUGAGGCAGGCGGAAUUCGUGGUGUAGCGGUGAAAUGCUUAGAUAUCACGAAGAACUCCGAUUGCGAAGGCAGCCUGCUAAGCUGCAACUGACAUUGAGGCUCGAAAGUGUGGGUAUCAAACAGGAUUAGAUACCCUGGUAGUCCACACGGUAAACGAUGAAUACUCGCUGU
rnacentral:rRNA from 1 species